CUUUUCCUUAUGGCAUAGCACAAAGUCUGUUUGCCUUACCUUAACACUAUUUCUCCUCUACAGAUACAAGCUGACACUCCGAAGGAAUCUGAGGUCAUAAUCAUCGAGGAAGUAAGUUCUAUCAUUCUGAUGUGGUAAUAGACUGGUCUGUGGGGGCUGUUCAACUACCCAGUUACUCCUCUCCAAACUUCCUUGAGGCCGUUCUCAUAAGUCAUCUCAGAGUAUUGUAACAUUUUGAGUCUGUGGUAUUUUUGUCCCACAGCAAACACAGCACAGGUAGAAUUACCUUUAGUCAUAUAAUAAUUGUGUAGAGGAUUCUAGUCAGUAUCUCCAUUCUUCUCACACAGGCUCGUGUGGGUGUUUCGCACCCUGUGGGGACCAUUACUGAAGGCCUCCAGACUGGGUUCUCUUGUUUCCUGGUAAUUAUCAGGAAGUCAGAGCUUCUAUCUUGUCUCUCUCAUGACUGGGCCCCUUCUCCCACACACACCCCCACCUCCCGGUGAAUAGUUCCUCAGCCCUGCUCACAACUGUGCUGGGGUGGGGUUCUGGGGGGCAGUCCCUCCUGAUCUACUAGCCAGCGCUUGCAGCUCCACUUCUGUGAGAAGAUGGCAUGCCUCCUCCUCAGGUACCAAGGGAAGUUUGACUUUGUUGUCCACCAAGAAACCACCCCACAACAUUGUCCAGAACAGGGACCCUGGGGAAGUAAGGAACCAGAUGUUCCUAGAAGAUCGAGCUUCACUAUGCCUGAGACUAGCCUUCCCUAUGCCAGCAAGUCCGCUAGAGACCUUACUGAGACUGCUUCCCCUGCUCGUGACCUUUACCACUUCCCUGUGCUCCCCCUUAACAACUCUCUGCUUAGUCCAGGAUCAGGGAGAUGGUCUUUGAGCAUUACUCCACCAUAUUCCCAGCUUGUGGCUUCCUGAAUAAAGCAACCUUUCUUUCAA
rnacentral:lncRNA from 1 species